rnacentral:rRNA from 1 species
UACGAAGGGGGCGAGCGUUGUUCGGAAUCACUGGGCGUAAAGGGCGCGUAGGCGGCCCUCUUAGUCGCGUGUGAAAGCCCCGGGCUCAACCUGGGAACGGCGCGCGAAACGGGAGGGCUGGAGUUGGGAGAGGAGAGUGGAAUUCCCAGUGUAGAGGUGAAAUUCGUAGAUAUUGGGAAGAAACACCAGUGGCGAAGGCGGGUCUCUGGACAGUUCCUGACACUGAGACACGAAGGCCAGGGGAGACAAACGGGAC